ensembl:lncRNA
GGAAAUAGGUCAUAGCGAUACCGCAGAUGUUUCAUGUGACGUGGACAGAAAGUAACACCAGAGGCAACGAGCAUUUCGUUAAGAUUUUUAAUUGAUCAUACAAUAAAAAAAAAUAAAAAAAACCUCAUUUGCACCGAAAAGAAAUCUCCACAAGAUGGAGUGGGGGAGGGUGGAGCCGUAAACUUUACACAGCGGCUUAAAACAAACCCGUAACCUUUGAAAUAGAGAAAAGUAUUUAAAUUGUUCACAGGGGAUGCAAUGAAAACUAGCCGGUGAGAAUAAGACAAACGGGAAAUUGCAUUAAAGUCAUUGAAGCUCUUAAAAAAAAAAAAAAAAAAAGGAUUUCUCACAUAUUUCCUGCCCAUAGGUGCAAAAAAGUCCAACAAAAAUCUUUUCGAAAGCUGAUGACAUUUAUGUACAAUGUUAUGAGAUCGUAGGUUCUCCCCAAGAAUAUUGUAAAUAUGCAGUAUGACUUUCUGCAUCCCAGGUGUAUUUUAGAGUACCGCAAAAACAAAUUAAAGAAAUUGAGACGUCAGUUCAAAAUGGGAAACUGCUACAAUGAUCCAGCAAUACGCUACUUUUCCCCCCAAAAAGGAAAUCUUUACCGUUUUGGCGUUUGAUGGAUGCUGCAGGUGUGAAUGGGAAGGCAUUUAAGUAAACUAGAUUGAUCUACAAACAAACAGACUUACCAAGUUUACCAGAUCAAAUUCAUGUUAUUUCCCCCCCGCUGAGACAGACGAUACGGAAACUGACUGGUGCAUCCUUUAAUGAGACUGAAUCUUAGAUAUGUUAAGAGAAGUGAACACUUUGAGAACAGCAGACAGAGCAAUUAAGCCGAAGCCGCUAAAGGCGAGACUGCUCACUAUGUACAGCAACGGGAUCAAGCUCGCCAAAGAGACAAACGACCCCCUUUGUUUUAAAUUCCACUAAUCCCGAGAGGCUGAACGUUUUUCCCUGGACUUGGAUCGGCGGUCGUCCUCUCGAGGAGACGGGGAGCGGGACGGAGACUUGGCGGCAGGCUCCUCCACCCCGUUAGCCAUCGGGGACACCGAAUGACUGCGGGACCUUUCGACGGACAUCUCCUUGGAACGACUGCGAGAAUCACGCUCAGACUUCACCUUUGAACGGCUCUUAGAACGGGACUUGGAUUUCCGGUCAGCUGAGCGCGAACGGGAUCUGGGGGAGCGCGAACGGGACUUUGCCUUCCGGUCAGCUGAGCGCGAACGGGACUUUGCCUUCCGGUCAGCUGAGCGCGAACGGGACUUUGCCUUCCGGUCAGCUGAGCGCGAACGGGAUCUGGGGGAGCGCGAACGGGACUUUGCCUUCCGGUCAGCUGAGCGAGAACGGGACCUGCGGUUGCGAGACCUUGAUUCCCUUCCUCCGGACUUUGAGCGAGACUUCCUUCCAGAUAGAGAGCGGCGACGCCUCUUGUUGCUAUGGGAAC